AACAUGAAAAGGUAACAUGUUUACCCUAAUUAUUUUUCUAAUUCUAUGAUCUUCUCCGCCUAAGCUUUUAAAGCCCUUCAAUGGUGAUUUUGGCUUGAGGAGAAUCCUACCUUCUUCCUGAUUAAGCUUACCUUUGCUAUUGUUUUGAUUGAAUAUUCUCUGACCUUCGAGAUAACAAGCAAUUCUUCAUAGAUCAUCCUGGUGCAGUGCCAAUUACUACACACCAGAGAGAAGAACUGAAGUAACUGAAUGUAGUUCUAGGCAUUAUAAAAAUCUCACGUCAAGGCACCAAAACAGAAGAAGAAAAAGAACAAUAAUCGUUGCAUGAUCUUCUGAUAAGAAUCUCUAAAGACUAGGAGAUAAAUAAAAAGAAGAAGAAGAAGAAAAUAUUGACAAUUUAAUUGGUCCCCACUAAUAUGAAAAUUAGACGUUAAGGGUGACAUUAUGAGUAGCUUUUUGUAUAGUUUCUAAAAAAAAGUUGUGUUGUUGUGUCUGUUACUCUUUGCUGGUGAAUCCUUUGAGUUCACAGUGUGUUUUACUCUUGCCAUGUAGACUAAUCUCACUCUUCUACUUUGUUCUUGAUGGGAUCACUAUUUUGUAUUUAUAUAUUAAUCUAAUUGGAUUUGCAAUU